ACAUUGUCCUGGCAGACAGACGGACACUGUAGGAAGGUGCUUUUCCAGGGCAGAGGUUCAUCCACUACACUAAGAGUGUUCUGAUUCCCAAGGUUUCCCCAACUGUGGGAAACCCAGCUGCGUAAUUGAUGUUAAUGGAGGACUGGUUUCUCUUGGUUUUUG